rnacentral:rRNA from 1 species
UACGUAGGGGGCAAGCGUUGUCCGGAUUUAUUGGGCGUAAAGGGCGCGUAGGCGGUCGUGUGCGUCAGAGGUGAAAUCCCCGGGCUUAACCCGGGAGCUGCCUCUGAUACGGCAUGGCUUGAGUCCGGGAGAGGAGAGCAGAAUUCCCAGUGUAGCGGUGAAAUGCGUAGAUAUUGGGAGGAAUACCGGUGGCGAAGGCGGCUCUCUGGACCGGUACUGACGCUGAUGCGCGAAAGCGUGGGUAGCAAACAGG